CCGGGAGGGAGGAAUGAAGAACACAGAUCAGCCAGAGCAUUCUGUAGAGUUCAAGUUGAAGUUGAAGGGAAAGUAUUCCAGAUGCUGACAGCACAAAAACUGAUUCUUAGAAUUCACAUCAAUGUCCUUGCAUUCUACAGUAGACUAAAUGAAUCAUCUUAAAAAUCUACUGAAAUUGGAGAGUACAAACAUUUUCUAAAGUAAGUUUGAGCACUAAUUCUAAUUCAUUUAGGGCCAGGUUAUUUAAUUUGGUCACUGAAUUAUUAAAGAAACACUUUCCCUUGGCCUGUCAGUGUUUAGAUAUUUAAUUCUUGUCAACAAAACCAUAGCCUGCAGAGGCCAUUGUGGUAUACAUCACAGAAUUGAACUGUAUGCCUUAAAAUUUCAAGUUGGAAUGUUUUCAAGGGGCCUAGGAAUU
rnacentral:lncRNA from 1 species